GACGAACGCUGGCGGCGUGCCUAAUACAUGCAAGUUGAGCGCUGAAGGUUGGUACUUGUACCAACUGGAUGAGCAGCGAACGGGUGAGUAACGCGUGGGGAAUCUGCCUUUGAGCGGGGGACAACAUUUGGAAACGAAUGCUAAUACCGCAUAAAAACUUUAAACACAAGUUUUAAGUUUGAAAGAUGCAAUUGCAUCACUCAAAGAUGACCCCGCGUUGUAUUAGCUAGUUGGUGAGGUAAAGGCUCACCAAGGCGAUGAUACAUAGCCGACCUGAGAGGGUGAUAGGACACGUUGGGACUGGGGCACGGCCCGAACUCCUACGGGAGGGAGCAGUAGGGAAUUUUCGGGAAAGGACGAAAGGCUGAACCAGCCACGCCGGGUGAGUGAAGAAGGUUUUCGGAUCGUAAAACUCUGUUGGUAGAGAAGAACGUUGGUGAGAGUGGAAAGCUCAUCAAGUGACGGUAACUACCCAGAAAGGGACGGCUAACUACGUG
rnacentral:rRNA from 1 species